AUAAGGCUAAAAUUCUGGCCCUCUUAGAAGCCCUAUUCUUGCCCAAAAGACUGAGUAUUAUACAUUGUCCAGGACACCAGAAAGGGCACAACCCAGAGGCACGAAGAAACCGCUGGCCGAUGCCACGGCGCGAGAAGCGGCCAUGAGCAAAUAAAUCUUGCCCUUAAAUAGCCCAGACCAACCCACGCCCCCACCAGUGAGACAAACUAGUUGGGUUUAUGCCCAUGAGGACAUAGAGCUCCUAGAAAAAAAUGGGGGCCAUCUACCACCCUCAACUAAAACAGUGGGUCUACAAAGGACUUUUGAAUUGAUCUCCUUUUUACAUAAGAAGAUAAAAACCUUACUAGAUCGGGAAGAGAUAAAUCUGUGUUUUUUGGGACAAAGCGAUACAAAAGGUGACUGAG
rnacentral:lncRNA from 1 species